rnacentral:lncRNA from 1 species
CAAAAAACCUAACUGGUCUACCAGAGAUUCUGUAUCCUCUACGAGACUUCCUUUACACCAAAAAUGAAAUAGAAGAAUACAGUCCAUCUUAACAUCCUGAAUGGAUUUGUAUCUGUCUUCAACAACUCUUGAGUUUCUCUCCUUCCAUACUGUCCGCCAUAUGCAUGCAGGUAUCAGUCUCCACCAUGUCUUUUGACUCACUGAGUCUCCAGGGUUGUUCCAAGAUUUUAGUAACUCAACAGUAGUAGCUGGCAUAGACCAUUUUAGCCCAACAAUGUUAAGGAACAAUUGCCACAGUUGACUAGUAAUAGGGCAGUGAAGGAAUAAGUGGCUGUUUGUUUCCAAUUCUCUGCCACAUAAAAGACAUCUAGAGCAAAGUUGGAAUCCCCUCCUUUUCAAGUUCUCUUGAGUUGAGCAUGCUUCUCUUGCUACCAGCCACCAGCCAUGUGAAACAAAUCACCUUAUAAGGAGCUUUAACUUUCCAGAUACUCUUCCAUGGCCAACCAUCUAUGUGACGACCAGUGUUUGAUAACAGAAGAUAAGCUGCUUUGACAAUAUAUAUCCCAUUCUUACCAUUGUUCCAGAUAAGAGAAUCUUCAUGUUCUUUAAGAUCUGCUUGAUUCUCAUGUCUUCCUUUGCAAUUUUGGUUUGCAGGGUGACAAUCAAAUUCCAACAGCAGCAAAAUCAGGUCCUUGGAGGAAGGUUAGUACCGAUAAACUGCUAGUGACUUCAUAAUUUGUAGGGGCUUUUUUUUUUUUUUAAUUGUUCAUAAUUCGCGAGGGCUUCUUUAAGUGAUGUUAACUCUGCCAUUCUGCGUUUGAAUAAUCAGCCAAUAGGUAUGAUUUGUUGCAUACAAGUUUCAUAAUUCAUAGGGCUUGUUUCAAUGAUGUCAUUCUGCAUUUGAAUAAUCAGCUCAUAGGAACGAUUUGUAUGAUCUUCAUUCUAACUUCGCUUCACAUAUGCAAAAUGGAGAACCUGAAUAUGGGAAACUAGUUUUCUGGAGUAGCCAUUUCCUUGAGUGCUAUCAAUCCAAAUGCAAUUUCUAGCUGACAAAUCAGAAUUCCUGUUAAAGUACCUACUUUUCAAUGUGGCAAUUUGACAGAAUUUGAAGUUAUAAAGAGCCAGAUACACAUAUCUGUCUAAUCAGCAUUUAAUAUGCUGGAAGAGGGUAUCGGUUUUCGUAGAUAAGUUCUCUAGUUGGGCAUAAUUAAGUAUAGGGAUGUGUUUUCUGUGUCCAAAUUGAAAAAUUCAUGUAAUUACUACAUUGUAAAGGAUAAAGGGUAAGAAACAGUUGAAAGGGAUUAUACUGCCACCUUUAUUGAAACUAGUUCGGUAAGAAAUUGGCGGAUAGAAGUGUUUCAGUACUGAGUAAGAGGAAAAUAAUUCAUUUUGCUAUAUAUCAUUAGCUAAUCUAGUUGGUUUUUAUGGUCGGUCAUAGUGAUUCAUGUGGCUGCAUCGAUAUAUCAACUUCUAUUGUCUUUUUCACCAUGCACUCAUAAUAUUCCUCUCGUCUUUAAAUCUGUUCUUGAUCCUUUUGUUUGUUGCUACAGAUGCUAUCCUCAAAGGAUGUCAACUUUAUGGGCUACACUUACAAAAACUUUGAGAUUGUGAAUGAUAAUGAUGUUGCUGGAAUGGGUAUUGAGCUUUUCCUUGCAUUAAGUUAUAAUUAAUCCCUUUGGUCUUAAUUGAACUUAUCUAACAUAGGAUAAGUAUGAUUUGAUUUCUGCUGUUAUCUGUGCUUUGCUUAUCAAACUCUGUUUUACAAGUAUUAAAUGGUUAUAUUUGUUUCCUUUGUAAUUGUGAUUUUGUCUUGAAAUGCUUUUUCCUUUUUCAGCUGAACUGAAGAAGAAGAGCAACAAAGCUAAGAGGCCAACUGUGAAGGCACUUUUCAGUAGGAUUUCUGCCCCUCUUUCUAUUCUGGUUGUCAUCAUUAUUACUGUAGACUGGAUUAUUACUUCUCCAGGCAUUGCUCCUAGAAAUAGAGAGGCAAUACCCAAGGAAUGGAAAUAAUAGUUGCAUGCCUUCGCUAGAUGUAGUAGUUAGGCAUGUUCAGAAAACGUUAUCCCAGUAAGUCUAUUGCAACUUAUAUUGGGAUUGAGCGUCACCAUCCUUUAUAUUGAGAAACAUCGAUAAAGUUUCUGAGAGUUGAAGGUAAAUAGAGUUUUUCCGUAUGUUUUGUAACGUGGUAAAUUUGUCAGAAUGAAACAGUUGAUAUUAUAUCAGAAAAAAAGGAAAAGUGAAUUGAUAUCCACCACCAGGCCUUUGGUUCAGCCAUAAGGACACAUUGGAGUGUGGGUUAGGUCCUCAUCAGUGGUUCGAAUCCUGCCAAUGGACAAAAGUCCAGUAUUUAAGUUGGGAGGAGGGUAGAGGGAGGCCAAUACUCUCCGGAGUUUAGAACCUGCUGAUACCUCACAAAGUGGGGCUCAGAGAUGAUUUCUCCAAUAUAAAAAGAACAUUAAGAAAAAGAAUUGAUCAUUAGUUGACUCUCCAGUUGCGGUUUACAGCAUUUUGUCCAUCUGUUUCAUGUGGUCUUUCUUGUUAUUCUUUUCUUGUGGAUCAUGAAGUUUCUAAGGGUUGGAGAGCUAUCAACAAAUCUUUCUCUGAAGUUCUCCUGUGGUGGUAAUUUCUUCAAAAGAAAUGGUGGAUAUUACUGUUAGCUUACAAGAAAAUGAGUUGAUUAUUUAUUGACUUCCCAUUUGUGAUACCUUUACAGCAUCUUGUCCCUCUGUUUCAUGUGUUCUUUCUUGUUAUUCUUCUGUUUAUUUUUCUCUCAUGGAUCAUGAGAUGGUAUAAACAUGCUAAAGUAUGGAUGUUCAUAUGUUUGUAGGUGAGGAUUCGGAUGCAUCCAACUCUCAACCUGCUCAUGGGAGUUUCCUUAAAAUGUUACCUCCACACUUGGAAUCAUCAAAGCAGGCUGAACUAUCGGGAGUUUCCUUAAAAUGUUACCUCCACAUUUGGAAUCAUCAAAGCAGGCUGAACUAUAGCGUCCAAACUAAUCUGUUAAUAACUGUAUGACCAUAGUCAACAAAGCAAACAUGCAACAUUCCCUCUGUUAAAGUGAAGCUGUUGUGUUUUAACAUAGGUAUAUUUCAAGUGUAAGUAUCCACGACGAAGGCAGUUUUGCAAAUCUGUGACUGCCUUGGUUCAUAGUUGCGCUUGUUUUUGUGUAAAUUAUUUCUUGGAAGUACAUAUCAUUCUUUUUGUUGCUAGUUUGUAAUUUUCUCCCCUCUAAGCUGCAGAAAAUUACACCCUUGUUCUUGUAAUUUCUUCGACUAUGGGUUUAUUUAUUUCAAUAGCCCUUCCCUCUAAGCUGCAGAAAAUUGCACCCUUGUUGUAAUCUCUUCCACUAUGGGUUUAUUUAUUUCAAUAGCCUAUCUUAAAAGGUGGAAGUUUUAGUUUGUGUUCUUCCUAAAAGUGUACACUCUCCUUGUUUAUGCUUUCUUGGAUUGAAACCACUUUUUCAUUGUUGUGUUACUAUUAACUCGAAAAGAAGACCUAAGAUGCUUUAUUGUUCUAUAGUUUUGCAUGAAGUGGCUAUAUUGAUGUCCCUCACCCCCUUGGCUCUGUAAUUUAUUCUCCC